GGGAUAAACCCUUCUUUGUUAGUAUUUCUUCUUCUCUCCGCCUCUCAGUUUCAUCCUCUCAAACACGAUGAUGAGCUAAUUCGCUGCUCUCCAAUGGCGAAUCUGAUAGACAUAUAUUACUUCUCUCGAUUUCAAUAGCAGCGAAUCUCAUUUGUUCACUUCUCAGCUUUAGCAUCUGCUCAUUUAGAUUCCAUUGCAACCACAAACUAAACAUAUAUGUAGAAGUUUUUUUGUGCAUUUUGCAAUAUUUGCUUGUCUAACUAGAAAAAAGUUGUAGUCAGGUUUCUUGCUGAACAUUACAGAUAGCUUUUGUUUGUAGUCAGUUUCUAGCAACUGCUGCUUGCUGCAAUCCCUGUUUCUAUUCCGCUUCUUCAGUUGUUGCUAUUUCUACAGACUGCUAUUUUUGAGGCAAGUGACUUGAUAAAGAUCUCGUAGCGUAUUCUGAAGCAUCGGUUCAACAAGAAGUCUAUUAAUUAAGAUGGUUUUCUGGUCUAUUGACUGUGCGUUAGUUGAUAUUUCAUUGGACCAAAAUAUUUUCAGACUCUCCUCUCCUUUUCGUGGUCUGUUUUGGCUCUAGCGUUUUUCUAACGUUCUCCCUGCUUCUAGAUGGUCAACAAGUAGUGUUAUGGUAACAAGGGAGACAUGUCUUGGGUCUGGUAUGUUGGCAUCAUGUCUUGGGUCUUGAAACUAUUUAUAUGCCCAGCUGUUUCCUGGAAGUGAUUCUUCUUCACGUAAAGCUAAUGAUCUUAGCUCUAUGGUUCAUACUUCACACCUAAGCUAAGAAUCCUUGUCACCGCGUUUUGAUUCAAUGGGAAUUUUAAAUUACUUGAUAAUUUUAGUAUCUAAUUGAUGAAUAUAUGCAGUUCUGAUGGAGAUUAUCAUGAUGAUGGGAAAGGAGAGAGAUGGGCUGAAGUCAUCUCUUGGGAGCCUAUAUAGGGUGCUUUCGUUUAUCAUAAUUUCUUGACCAAAGAGGAAUGUGAGUACCUGAUUAAUCCUGCCAAGCCUGAUGUGCAAAGUCUACUGUUGUUGAUAAUGAAACUGAAAAAGUCUAAUGUGCAAAAGUCUGUCCAGAUUGUUGGAACAACUUCAUUUUGUUGGAAUCUUAGUUACUACCUUUGAAUUUCUCCAUGAAUUCUUUUUUUGAACGUUUUAUAUAUCUAAAAAAUGCAAUUUUGAUUCUACAAA